UACGUAGGUGGCAAGCGUUGUCCGGAAUUACUGGGCGUAAAGGGCGCGCAGGCUGUUAUGCGAGUCUGCUGUGAAAUGUACCGGCUCAACCGGUGCCUUGCGGCGGAUACUGCAUAGCUGGAGUACUGGAGAGGGAAGUGGAAUUCCCGGUGUAGCGGUGAAAUGCGUAGAUAUUAGGAGGAACACCAGUAGCGAAGGCGUCUCUCUGGACUGUAACUGACGCUGAGGCACGAAAGCGUGGGGAGCAAACAGGAUUAGA
rnacentral:rRNA from 1 species